rnacentral:lncRNA from 1 species
CCCAUCGAGCUUAGAAUUAUAAGGAGACGCCGUUUUGAUAUUGACGUAUCUAUAGUUAUAUAAAUAUGAAACAAACUAUGCAACAUAGUUCUGUCUCACUCUUUCUAAGCAGAUAAGUGUAUUUGAAAACAGGGACAACAAUAUUUUUGUGAUUGCGUAAAAUGGUGACAUUUACUUUUGAAAUCCUUCUGCGUGCCAUAUCUGGCCAUAUAUGUCAUGGUAGUUGUGCUGUCAAAUAGGUGCUCUUCGUGACUUAUUUUUGCUAUUUUAUAGAAUAUCACUCGUGUUUACUUUUAAGACUUUACUAUUUCAAUUGUGAAAUAAUCAACGAAUAUGCCUAUGUGUUGUAUUGUGAAGUGUGGUGCUAGGAAGCACCAAAAUCAAGCUGGAUUGUCUUUACACAGUGCUUCCGCACAGACGAGCAAAUCGGAAUGCAAGUUGCAAUAUUUGCUUGAGAACUUAGUUACCGAGUAUAGAUUUCGAAUUGUAUAAAUAUUUUUUUCUUAGCACUAAAAUUGUUUUGUACAAUCGAUUAAUACAUAAUUAGCUCCAUUUGCAUUAUAUAACUUUCUUAUGAAUAGCUUGAAAACGAUUUUAAAUUAUUGUAUUUUUUUUAAGAGAGUAUCUCCUUAUGGCGUUUCUUGCGGAUUCUUCUUCAUAGGACCGAAUCUUUGGCACCCUGCAACUAGUCUGACGUGAAAGAACUUUCAUAGGGCUAUUUGAAAUAAUAAAUAAUUACUUUGCCUGUU